rnacentral:rRNA from 1 species
GUGGGGAAUCUUGCGCAAUGGGCGAAAGCCUGACGCAGCCAUGCCGCGUGAAUGAUGAAGGUCUUAGGAUUGUAAAAUUCUUUCACCGGGGACGAUAAUGACGGUACCCGGAGAAGAAGCCCCGGCUAACUUCGUGCCAGCAGCCGCGGUAAUACGAAGGGGGCUAGCGUUGCUCGGAAUUACUGGGCGUAAAGGGCGCGUAGGCGGACAGUUUAGUCAGAGGUGAAAGCCCAGGUCUCAACCUUGGAAUUGCCUUUGAUACUGGCUGUAUUGAGUACGGGAGAGGUGAGUGGAACUCCGAGUGUAGAGGUGAAAUUCGUAGAUAUUCGGAAGAACACCAGUGGCGAAGGCGACUCACUGGCCCGUUACUGACGCUGAGGCGCGAAAGCGUGGGGAGCAAACAGGAUUAGAAACCCGUGUAGUCC